GAAGCAACGCGAAGAACCUUACCAGGUCUUGACAUCCCACUGACCGUUAUGGAGACAUAGUUUUCCCUUCGGGGACAGUGGUGACAGGUGGUGCAUGGUUGUCGUCAGCUCGUGUCGUGAGAUGUUGGGUUAAGUCCCGCAACGAGCGCAACCCUUGAUCUUAGUUGCCAUCAUUUAGUUGGGCACUCUAAGGUGACUGCCGGUGACAAACCGGAGGAAGGUGGGGAUGACGUCAAAUCAUCAUGCCCCUUAUGACCUGGGCUACACACGUGCUACAAUGGACGGUACAAACGGUUGCCAACCCGCGAGGGGGAGCUAAUCCGAUAAAACCGUUCUCAGUUCGGAUUGUAGGCUGCAACUCGCCUACAUGAAGCCGGAAUCGUUAGUAAUCGCGGAUCAGCAUGCCGCGGUGAAUACGUUCCCGGGCCUUGUACACACCGCCCGUCACACCACGAGAGUUUGUA
rnacentral:rRNA from 1 species